AAAAUUCCGAACCAAUAUUAACAUUUCGAUAGAAAUAUUGAGAUUAUCGAUAUUUUUGCUAACAACCCAAACCUCUUCAUUAGAUGCACGCACAUUCUUGGGCAUCCCUUCAAAUUGUCAAGCUGUCAAGAACUCAAUCUUUCUACUUGCAAAGCCAAUUGGCUUGUGUUAGAGGAGCUAUUUUUGAGAGUUGGCUUGGUGGUGGAGACGAGGACGAGGACGAGGACGAGGACGGGGAUGAAUAGGUGGGAGUAGGGGUGACCGUCCCUGUCCCCAUCCAUAUGGCUUUAUCAAGUUGGAUAUGUAAAAUUGUUACUAUAUGUAGCUGUUCUGUUUUCUUUAGAUAGAGGAAUCAGCAUCUUUAAAGAGGAUUAGAGGGAAGUGGUGAAUUAAGUGAAUUGCAAUUAUGCGUCUGCACAGUUUUAAUUAGGCUGGAUCACCGAGUGUAAGCACAUGAGUGCACCUCACUAAUUCAAAUUAUCAGAAUAUUUUACAGA